ACGGUCCUAAGGUAGCGAAAUUCCUUGUCGGGUAAGUUCCGACCCGCACGAAAGGUGUAACGACUUGGGCACUGUCUCAACGAGGGACCCGGUGAAAUUGAAGUACCUGUGAAGAUGCAGGUUACCCGCGACUGGACAGAAAGACCCCAUGGAGCUUUACUGUAACCUGAGAUUGGAUUCCGGUAAGAGAUGUACAGGAUAGUUGGGAGGCUGAGAAGUGAGUACGCCAGUAUUCACGGAGCCGCUGGUGGGAUACCAACCUUGUUUUAUUGGAAUUCUAACGAGAAGCGUAACGAGCUUGCGGACAGUCUCAGGCGGGCAGUUUGACUGGGGCGGUCGCCUCCGAAAGAGUAACGGAGGCGCCCAAAGGUUCCCUCAGCGCGGACGGAAACCGCGCGAAGAGUGCAAAGGCAGAAGGGAGCUUGACUGCGAGACGGACAGGUCGAGCAGGGACGAAAGUCGGGCUUAGUGAUCCGGUGGUUCCGAGUGGAAGGGCCAUCGCUCAACGGAUAAAAGCUACCCUGGGGAUAACAGGCUAAUCUCUCCCAAGAGUCCAUAUCGACGGGGAGGUUUGGCACCUCGAUGUCGGCUCAUCACAUCCUGGGGCUGAAGUAGGUCCCAAGGGUUGGGCUGUUCGCCCAUUAAAGUGGUACGCGAGCUGGGUUCAGAACGUCGUGAGACAGUUCGGUCCCUAUCCAUCGCGGGCGUAAGAAACUUGAAAGGGGCUGCUCCUAGUACGAGAGGACCGGAGUGGACCGACCAAUGGUGUACCAGUCAUGGCGCCAGCCGUGCAGCUGGGUAGCUACGUCGGGGACGGAUAAACGCUGAAAGCAUCUAAGCGUGAAACCAGCCUAGAGAUGAGGUUUCUCAUUACAUUAGUAAGUAAGGUCCCACAAAGACGAUGUGGUUGAUAGGCCGGGAGUGGAAGUACAGCGAUGUACGGAGCGGACCGGUACUAAUAGACCGAGGACUUGACUUA
rnacentral:rRNA from 1 species